rnacentral:rRNA from 1 species
GAUGAACGCUGGCGGCGUGCCUAAUACAUGCAAGUCGAGCGAAUGGAUUAAGAGCUUGCUCUUAUGAAGUUAGCGGCGGACGGGUGAGUAACACGUGGGUAACCUGACCAUAAGACUGGGAUAACUCCGGGAAACCGGGGCUAAUACCGGAUAACAUUUUGAACCGCAUGGUUCGAAAUUGAAAGGCGGCUUCGGCUGUCACUUAUGGAUGGACCCGCGUCGGAUUAGCUAGUUGGUGAGGUAACGGCUCACCAAGGCAACGAUGCGUAGCCGACAUGAGAGGGUGCUCGGCCACGCUGGGACUGAGAUACGGAGGAGACUCCUACGGGAGGCAGCAGUAGGGAAUCUUCCGAAAUGGACGAAAGUCUGAAGGAGCAACGCCGCUUGAGUGAUGAAGGCUUUCGGGUCGUAAAACUCUGUUGUUAGGGAAGAACAAGUGCUAGUUGAAUAAGCUGGCACCUUGACGGUACCUAACCAGAAAGCCACGGCUAACUACGUGCCAGCCGCCGCGGUAA